rnacentral:rRNA from 1 species
GACGAACGCUGGCGGCGUGCUUAACACAUGCAAGUCGAACGGAAAGGCCCUGCUUGCAGGGUACUCGAGUGGCGAACGGGUGAGUAACACGUGGGUGAUCUGCCCUGCACUUCGGGAUAAGCCUGGGAAACUGGGUCUAAUACCGGAUAUGACCUUCCAUGUAGUGUGGGGGGUGGAAAGAAUUAUCGGUGUGGGAUGAGCCCGCGGCCUAUCAGCUUGUUGGUGGGGUAAUGGCCUACCAGGGCGUCGACGGGUAGCCGGCCUGAGAGGGUAGACGGCCACAUUGGGCCGGAGAUAAGGCACAGACUCCUACGGGAGGCAGCAGUGGGGAAUAUUGCACAAUGGGCGGAAGCCUGAUGCAGCGACGCCGCGUGGGGGAUGACGGCCUUCGGGUUGUAAACCUCUGUCGACAGGGACGAAGCUUCGGUGACGGUACCUGUAUAAGAAGCACCGGCUAACUACGUG